GUUACUUUAGUCAUGUUGUGGUGCUCAGUACCUGGAUGUGCAAAGUACAAGCAGCAUAGGUUGCUGGGGUGACGUUAACAUUUAAUGGUUACCUUACUAAGAAGUCGAGCAGAGAGUCCGAUUCCAUCAACAUCUGCAGCGGCAUCAAGCUUACCACCAGGAACUAGUACUAGUCCUGCUGCCGAUGACCUUGACACCAGCUUCAGUAGUACAGAUCCUGUAGACCUAUUGGAUGAAAGCUUUCGGCCGAGAACAAGCUCAAGCUUAACAUCAUCUGACUCGGAAGAGCCAAAGACUACACGUGGCUGGCAAGAGCCAAAGUGUAUUGUCCAAGGUCAUGGAACUCAUGAAGUUCUGCCAUAUCAGCUGCCAAGACCAGCUGAAGAACGUUCAGGACCCUGUCUGGAACAUUCAGCCAACCAGUGGUGUAAAGUACUUAAGUAGAACAACUUUAAAGUACCUACUUAAGUCGUUUUUUGGUGUGUCUGUAUUUUACUUUUCUAUUUAUAUUUUUGACAACUUUUACUUCACUACAUUCCUAAAGCAAAUAAUGUACUUUUUACCCCAUACAUUUUCCUUGACACCCAAAAGUACUCGUUAUACUGUAUUCUGAAUGCUUAGCAUGACAGGAAAAUGGUCCAAUUCACACACUUAUCAAUAAAAACAUCCCUGGUCGUCCCUACUGUGUCUGAUCUGGCAGACUCACUAACGCUUCAAUCACACCGACAGCAUCAUUGCAUUUUGGUACACCAGAAUUACAUACAUUACCAAUGAAACAAUGCGUUUGCCUUGCAGCAUUGCGUUGCGAAGGCAGUUGGAGUGCGUUCGGUGUGGUCCAUAUGUUGGAAUUAUCUAACUUAUGUGUCAAACUAUGCAUAGACGGCUUGACAGAAAUGGUAGCAGAAGGUGAAUGUUGAACUUUUGUUGCAUACAUAUCCAGAUGCUAUUUUGCGCAAUGUCGGUGUGUUUGAAGCUUUAACACGCAUGGCUAUCCGUAAAAUAAAAAA